CUCUCCCUCUCCCCCUCUCUCUCUUCUUCUCUCUCUUCUCGCCGGAUAACCUCGCUCGACGGAAUCUCUGCAGAAUCUCGCCGUCAAAUCUCUCUAUCUCUCUCUCUCCCUCUCCGGCCGGCUGUCCUUCUCUCGACGGAUUCUCUACCGGAAACACUAUUUCUCUCGCUGGAUCGGACCGAAAACUCUCUCUCUCAACGGAUCUCGCUGGAGCUCGCUUUCUCUCACCGGAAAAUCUCUCUUGCCAGAUCUAGCUAUCUCGCCGAAGUUACUGGAGUGCUUGGUGCCACUAUCUUUUGUAAGACGUUCUUUGUUUACAAAUGAUGCUGCCCGUUCUAUGUUUUUGGCCCAUUUAAUGACAAGAACCAAAGAAAUCCUACAAACAGGGCAAGGAAUAGAUGAAGCCUCGCGCAAAUUGGAUGAGGAUGCUCCACCUUUCGCAAACUGGGAGUCCUCAUGCUGCUGUGCAUUAUGCUGCUUCAAAGUAUAAAUAGUUUGUUGUGCUUUAGCAUGCAAAUGUGGGUUGAACUGAACCAGUGUUCCUCCAACAUCUAAAUGGUCGAAAAAGUACAUUUGUGUGUAGGGCUUGACCCAAUAGGGUUAUCCUAUCUUUGGCCAUUUUCCUUUGUUCCUGUUGAGGAGAUAUCCAAGGCAAUUAAGAAGGGAGAGCCUAGGAAAGGAGAUAGAAAGGAGAUGCAGCAGAUGAACAUAUAUCAGAUUCUUCUAAUUCAGAUUAAUAUGAUUGUUUUGUCCAAAUUUGUUUACAUCUUUUUGUAGCCUGUUUAGUUGGAAAUGUGUGUUAAGUUUGGGUUGUAAAUGACUUCUAGACUCAUCUCAUUUCCAAGUUUGAGCGCACUUGACUUUGUGAUUCAUAUGAAUUUUUGUGAUUUUCGUGUGCUCUGUUACAUAAUUUGAUUCUUAUAUAUUUGAUUGAUUCUAUUUAUUAACAGGUUCAACCUUUUCACCUA